rnacentral:rRNA from 1 species
GUUGACCUCGGAUCAGGUAGGGAUACCCGCUGAACUUAAGCAUAUCAAUAAGCGGAGGAAAAGAAACCAACAGGGAUUGCCCUAGUAACGGCGAGUGAAGCGGCAACAGCUCAAAUUUGAAAUCUGGCGCAAGCCCGAGUUGUAAUUUGUAGAGGAUGCUUCUGGCCAGCGGCCGUUCUAAGUUCCUUGGAACAGGACGUCAUAGAGGGUGAGAAUCCCGUAUGUGACCGGCGCGCAGCCUUUACGUAGCUCCUUCGACGAGUCGAGUUGUUUGGGAAUGCAGCUCUAAAUGGGAGGUAAAUUUCUUCUAAAGCUAAAUACCGGCCAGAGACCGAUAGCGCACAAGUAGAGUGAUCGAAAGAUGAAAAGCACUUUGGAAAGAGAGUUAAAAAGCACGUGAAAUUGUUGAAAGGGAAGCGCUUGCAACCAGACUUCGUAGCGGUGUUCCGCCGGUCUUCUGACCGGUCUACUCAUCGUCGCGAGGCCAACAUCGUCUGGGACCGCUGGAUAAGACCUAAGGAAUGUAGCUUCCCUCGGGAAGUGUUAUAGCCUGUGGUGAUGCAGCGUGUCUCGGGCGAGGUCCGCGCUUCGGCAAGGAUGUUGGCGUAAUGGUUGUCAGCGGCCCGUCUUGAAACACGGACCAAGGAGUCUAACAUCUAUGCGAGUGUUCGGGUGUCAAACCCCUACGCGUAAUGAAAGUGAACGGAGGUGGGAAGCGCAAGCUGCACCAUCGACCGAUCCUGAUGUCCUCGGAUGGAUUUGAGUAAGAGCAUAGCUGUUGGGACCCGAAAGAUGGUGAACUAUGCCUGAAUAGGGUGAAGCCAGAGGAAACUCUGGUGGAGGCUCGCAGCGGUUCUGACGUGCAAAUCGAUCGUCAAAUUUGGGUAUAGGG